CAAAAAAAAAAGUGUAAUUGUUGGAGGGAAUAUACAUAUUGCUAGAGCUUGAUAAACAGUUGUGUACGGAUCAAUUGGAUUAGUUGUUUAUUGGUGCAUUUUGAAGCAUUGAACGUAUCAAUUUGAGCUGAGUUUUGAUUCCAUUUGUUGCUCUGUAAUGCCUGAUUGAUGUUUAUUCGUUUCUAUUGAAGAGAAGUCAUUUAAAGCUCACUUUUCUGUGUCUUAUUUCAUGUUAAUUUGUAUUUGAAUUUAGUGGUGUUACUUUACCAAAUUGGUAAUUUCAGCUGUUCAUAUUUAUUCCAUUGCCCUAAUUAAUGAAUACUUCCUUUUUCUCUAUCCCACUGAAGGUAUGAGCUUGGAAGGCAGCCUG
rnacentral:misc_RNA from 1 species